rnacentral:sRNA from 1 species
UACGCGAUGCCGAAUUCGGGUCGCGGAUUAAACCACUCGCUGUUUACAGGAGAUUUAUCAUGACU